GGAUAGAAGCAUUGACCUUGAAUACAUUAGGAAAGCUGAAGAAUCUGGGUCAACAUUGGAAAAUGUCCAUAUUAACAAAGAAAAAGGAGCUUGGUUUGCCAGAAAAGAUAUUGCAAUCUCUCCCUCGAUCAGAUUUGCUAAUUCUUGUGAAUGCUUGUGAAACACCUCGGGUCUCAAAUCCAAAUCACAUGAAGAACUAGGCCCUUGAGCACAUCAUUGGUGCUGUCUCUUUGACAAAAAGCAUUUUUAGUUGAUGGAAAAUCACCAACUUUCACCCCUAAAAACAUCUGUGAAGAGCAGAAAACAGCCUGACUCUUAUAGAUGUCCCUGACAGCAAGCCAACCCUGGGAGAAACAAUGGUUUGGAACAAUAGCACCUGAGGUGGAAGAAAACACAGUGGGCCUCUCACUUUCGCUCUCUAACCACAACAAUUGAAAGAGACUAUGGCCUGAAAAAUCUAUCUGCUCCUAAAUGGUACCCAGAUGGAAAUCACAGCUGCUGUCAUGUACCACCUGUACCUACGCCCAUCCAUCUUCAGAACACGCCUGGGGCAGAGGAGAGAAAUCGAGUUGACAGAGCAGUUAAAGAGCCUCUCUUUUCUCCUGCAUACUUUUCCUUUUAUCUUUUUCUCUUCAGUUUCAGAGCUUCUUGUUCUCACCUUCAUGCUGUGGCAAUGCUGACAAAAGAAAACUGCAGCCUCUGAGAACCAGUGGUUUCCGGACAGAAGUCACUCGUAAUCCAUUGUGAACU
rnacentral:lncRNA from 10 species